rnacentral:lncRNA from 1 species
UUUACUCUAUGGUUCCAAGGGUGAUUUCUUUUUCUUGUUUCUUUUCAUACUUUCACCCUUUCAUAAGAAACUCACUUCUCCAAGUUUCUAAUCAACUUUUUUUUUCUUUACUCUCCCCAACUUUAGAUUCCAAAACCAAAUCUAUUCAAUAAUGCUCCCUACUUAGACAUAAGCAAAAGGCAAAAAAUUUCAAACAACUCGGUUUGAGGGUUCAAUUGACACGUUGCUCCCUACUUAGACAUAAGCAAAAGGCAAAAAAUUUCAAACAACUCGGUUUGAGGGUUCAAUUGACACGAAA